rnacentral:rRNA from 1 species
UACAGAGACUGCAAGCGUUGUUCGGAAUCACUGGGCGUAAAGCGCACGUAGGCGGAUUUGUAAGUCAGGGGUGACAUCCCGGGGCUCAACCUCGGAACUGCCUUUGAUACUGCAAGUCUCGAGUCCGAUAGAGGUGGGUGGAAUUCCUAGUGUAGAGGUGAAAUUCGUAGAUAUUAGGAAGAACACCGGUGGCGAAGGCGGCCCACUGGAUCGGUACUGACGCUGAGGUGCGAAAGCGUGGGGAGCAAACAGG